UGCAACCUUUCUUUGCUCCUUCUUGUCGGUGACCGUAUUCGGAGUGACCUCAGUUUGGGGAUUCCAGGUAUGUCAAGCGUGGAGACGCAGUGUCCUGAGGCCGAUGGUCUGGGAAGAGGCUCCUGUGUUGUUGAACCUGCCCAGUUGUGGGUGCAGCCUUGUACCAGGCAGCCCGACCCUGACCUAAAGUAAAUUCCCAGGAGAGGUUUUUCCUGGGUUUUGAAUUUGCAGUAACAGGUGUGAACAUUCUAGCAGCAGUUUGAUGAUCAUGUAUGAUACUGCAAACAGGAUUUUCGCUGAAAAAAGAAAAGCUGUAAACAGUGUUGAUGUUUUAUUCAAUAAAUAUUUUUUGAUUCUUUGGCCACCCACCAUGCUAAGUGUUAGGGAUACAGAGAUGUUACGGCCCUUGUUCUCAGGAAGCUACAGCCCAGUUGGGGAGAUAAAAUUCAGUGAUCACCCUAAAGAGGGUAUAAUUCAGUCCGAGGUGAGUGCUCUGAAGGAAAGCAUAGUCUAAUGAGAAUAUGUGUCUCAAAGAAUCUGAUGGAGACUGGAAAGCUUUCCUGAGGAUGAGACCCUUGAGCUGGACUCUGAAGGACUCAAGGAUGAGUAGGAGUUUGGUGGGAAGGCCAGGGGACAGCAUGUGCAAAGGUCCAGUGGGCUAGCGAGUAUGGCCAGUGGAGGAACUGGAAAAAGGCCAUUGUAGCCUGGAAAACAAAGUGGAAAAUGGUGUGAAACGAAGCUGGAAAGGUGAGGAGGGCCAGACGACACAGGGCCUGUGGCUUAUGUUAGGAUUUGGGGCUUUGUCCUGAGAAUAGUGGGAGGUUAGUAUGGGAUUUAAACAAGAAGAUGAUGUACUGAAAAUUGUAGCUUCAAAAGAGCCCUGUGUACAGAGCAGCACAGUCUAGCAGAACUUUCUGCGAUGCUGGUCUAUAAUCUGUGUCCUCCUGUAGAGCAGGCCCCGAGCCUGGAGUGGAAUUUUAAUUUAAAUGUAAAUGGCCACACGCGCCUAGUGGCCGCUGCGUGGGACCGCGCAGCUCUGGAACCUGUUGGAGGGGGCCAUGACAGAUCGUGGCACACAGAUGCCCUUUCACUUCCUGAAGAAGGACUGAGACAGGUUCCACUUUGGGGAGGAUCCACACGUUGAUCAUUCCUGGGCAUCUCACACAGUAACUGCUUGUGGAACUGCUUUUCUUUUUUAUUUUCUUGGUGUGGUUCAGCUCCUUCAUGAAGCGGCAUAUUCCCCCCUCUCCUACCUUUGCCUGUUUUGUUGUCAGCACACAGAUGGAGAAGUGAUUCUUCAACUCAUCGAAGUACCUACAGCGGUCAAAGCAUUACGUCUCAGCUUUGGAGGGGCUGUCAAGAAAAGUGGUCCCUGGUGUUCCAGGGUUUGGGAUGCAGAGAGGUAGACGGCAGGAAGUGCCCUGGACCCCAGGAAGAAGCGUUUCCAGUGGGACCUGGCAGAAUGCGGCCCUGUGAGGAAGUAAAGGCCGUUUCCAGCCGAUGAAACAUGUGACCAAAGGGAGGAAGUGUGAAAGUGCUUGAGAGGGUGUGGGGAACUCAAAAGUUGGGGGGAAACUGGGGAACUGCACAGCGAGAGAAAGGGAGGAAUAGGUAGGAAUAGAUGGGCUGGUGUUGCGUUAUGGGGGGCUUUGUCAGAGUUCGGCUUGUUGUGCCCACUAUGGGCCAGGAGGGCCCCACGUGGUGGUGGGCAGAUGUCCAGGUGUGCCUGCAGUGGUGGGUUAGGGAGUCACUGGGGUGGAGCCCGUAGACUUGGAAGGAGGGGGCUGAUUGGUCGCUGCGGGGCACCGGCUGCAUCGUAUUUUUGGUGGAAGGUAGAUUUUAGAUCUUGGAGGGUAUUUUAUUGUGUUAACAGUCUUAAAUUCUCUGAAUAUUCAGACUUGCUGAAGUCAAAUAAAAACCGAUGAAGUGUGGUUUUUUUGCAGGUGAGUUCACUGGAAGAUUUGUGUGUGUGGUGGGUGAAAAUCUGCUGAGUUCGUUUCUGCCUGGUUCUGUGUGCCUGAAAUGUAAUUGUUUUGUUUUAGCACUUUCCAAGUUUGUUUGGUUUAACUCCUGUCUACAUAGUUUUUGAGUGCUGACCUGUUUAAUGCCCUGUUUUGUAUGAGAAUAUAAAUAAAAGGAGUCAGACCCCAAGGAGACUUUUCAUACACGUUAUGGGUUCCGUGCCCGGUGACCACGCACUGAGUGUGUCACCUCGGCCUCCGAGGGGGCACAGUGGGCAGCACAGUUCCCGACUGAAGAGUGACUCACGGUCACACACCCUCAGUGCUGCCAGUGCCCUGGACCAGUAAGUUAGUCCCUGAGCACCCCGACCCCAGGCUUCUCGGUGGGCGCAGAACCCCGCCUUGCCAAGUCAGACUUGUUCGACUUCAGCAAGGCUGAAUAUUCAGAGAAUUUAAAAGUUCACACAAUAAAAUACCCUCCAAGAUCUGGGGUUUUUAAUCUACCCCCCCCCCGACACCUAGUGUGUGCACAUAUCACAGGGUCAGGAGGCUUUGUUGCAGAGGUUGGGGGCUCUGCUGGCACUAGCUGGGACCAUGCUUCACAGCAGAGAAUUCUCCCAAGUCCCACUGUCUUCGAAUGUUUUGCCAUCUGUUAAGGUGCAGAAAGGAAAAACCAGCCUGUGCCUUGAGCUGUGAUGGUGGUGGUUCUCCACAUAGUGCCGUCAUCAGAGUGUUCCAUGCUAUCUUCGUGUCGUGGUCAGGGCGUUACAGACAGUACAUACAUUUUUUUAUGCGGUGUAGAAGAGUUAUCUUGGACUUUGGACCUAGUCGUGCCAGAGCCAGGUACCUGCCUGACAUACUUGGUGACCCUCCCGACUUCACACUCACCUCAUCUCCCGAGAGGGUGUGGCCCGCUAGUGCCCACCAAGGCCGAGAUGUAGCUUUGCAACUUCAAGGCCAGCCUCUGGUGGGUCUUUAUGGACCAAUAAUCUAAAAGGGCUGCAGGUGUCAGGGGAGGCACGGCCACCACGGGCAGUGCUGGGAGCGGCAGCUCGUCAGCUCAGGUGACCCGGGCGGAGCAGCGCCGGGCAGAUGUAGCCAGAGGCUCCACCGCUGGCCUGCAGUGUGACCUCGGGCAGGCCACUUCCCUGUUUGUCCCUCAGUUUCAGUAAAAUGGGGAGGAUGGUCAUAAUUACGAUGCUUCCUGCCAGGUGGCGCUUGUGAGAGUUGAGUUAGCGGAUGGUGUAAAGCGCUCAGACUCUCAGCUGGCACAUCGGGAUGGUCAUUUCCGUUCUUCCCUGGAUUUUCAGUGCAUUUUACAAACACAUGGAAAGAAGGGCGUGUCAAGAGGACAAAUCAGAAGAGCAGAUCAGAUCCGUAAAACCCAGGCCGUAUAGUAACAGGUUGGAAUAAGCCGAGAGGUGCAGAGGGUGCUGAGGACGGCAGGCAGGACUUCCUUGUAAAACCCACAGAACAUAAAAUUUACUAUUUUAACCAUUUUCAAGUGUGCGGUUCCGUUUGUUUGUUUUUUUUAAAGUACAUUUACAAUGUUGUGAAACCUGCAGCUCUUGCCUACUUCCAGAAUAUUUCCAUCACUCCGAGAGGAAGCCCCCUCCCCCCAGCCCCUGGGCACCUCUGAUCUGUGUUCUGUCUCUGGAUUUGCUGAUUCUGGACUCUGCACUUUGCAUCCUUUUAUCAUCCAGGCCUCCCCUAGGGUUCAAAUAGGACCUCCAGCCCCUUGCCCCACGUCACCCAGCCAGCUGGGGACUACAGAGUAGAGAUUCUUAACCUUCUAAACCAGCAGAAUCUGAUUGGAAUUAGGUUUAUCCAAAAAGUCAGGUAAAGCGGGGAUUAAAAAAAGCAGACAUGUUACAUACAUUGUAUUUUAAUGUAAAAUGGAAGAAGAUAACAUCCAUUUGCUAAUGUUUUGAUAGGAAGCUGAGGCCUUUUAUUUUUGGUGGGCGUGGUCUAAACACUUUUAGGGAGGUCUUAAAUAUGCUUGCAAAGUAAUCUGAGCAAAUUCAUCUAGAUUUUUAUGGCCCCCCCAAUCUUGUAGAGUUGUCCCGCUCACACCUAAUUAAACAUUUUUAGCUUUAUAUAAGACUCCACAGUAUUCAACUAAUGGAAGAAAUUUUCAAUAUUGAGGUAUGGGGAAAUCAUUAUGGCUUAUACAUGAUUUAACAUGAAUUUUAUGCUAACUACAAUAGCUUGCUUGUGGCCUGUCAAACAUACGUUGUACAUCUGCUUUAGUCAUUAAAAAGGUGCAUUGGCCAGAAGUAAAGAACGUCCAUGUGAAAAAUAAAGACGGGGACUUGCCAGGUGGUCCAGUGGUAAAGAAUCUGCCUUCCAGUGCAGGGGACGCAGGUUCGAUUCCUGGUCGGGGAACAGAUCCCUCAUGCUGCGGAGCAACUAAGCCUGCGUGCCACAAGCAGAGAGCCUGCACUCUGCAGUGCUCUGCAACGAAAGAUCCCCCGUGCCGCAACUAAGACCCAACGCAGCCAAAAAUAAAGAAAGAUGAAACGCCUCCCUUCCUGGGAGGCCAAUGCUGGUACUCCUUCAAUGAUAAGACUCCCUUCCCAGGUGCCAAGGCUGUACUGACUCACUGUGUACCUGCUCAUAGGUUUUUGUUUUGGGGUUUGUUUGUUUUUUGUUUUUUUGAAACCUUGAAGGACUGUAUCCCUGACUUGUUUAAUGUUUUGUUUUGACAAGAUACAAAACAAUGCUGGAAACCCUGCUUCCGAGCAGUUGCUAAGUUAUCUAAGAGGCCGUCUCCCGUCUCCCAGGCUGUAGUCCUGUUUGGCUCAAAUAAAAUUUUUUUCUAUCCCUAUUAUAGAUUGUUAAUUGGUUAUUUCUGUCGACACAACUUAGAUUUGUUGUUUUUAUUUCAAAUAGGAGCAACACUUCUGUUUUGUUUGUUUUACAGUGUUUCACCAGUCUGCAUCCUACUUUAUUAAAUCAUGUAUUAUUGAACGAGGUCAGCUGGCGCGCACAGGUUUGGGAACAAAUACGAGUGGCUUUGGCAAGGCUUCAGCUCACGUGAUUGGAGCAGAAGCCUGGGUCCUCCCAGCGAGGAGCGUCAGCCUUUGGUGUCCGGGUUUCCUGGAGACCGUGAGGACUUUCCGUGAGGACCAGAGCCUCAGAGGAAGGGGGAGAGAGGUGUCCUGGGCGGAAACCGGAGGAGCUGCUCCAUGGCCCCAGCUGUGCUCGCUGGUGGCCACUGUCGACAAAAAUGAACCAAUAGGUGGUUAAAAAGAGAAACAGGAUUUUAUUCAAGCCAACCUGAGGAUUACAACCCAGGAGACAGUUUCUCAGAAAUCUCUGAGGGGUGCUUCACUUCUUAGAAGUCGAAGGCACAGUUAUAUGUAUUUUUGAGACGAAAUGACACACGUUUUACAGAGUUCGCCAACGGUACAUAGUCCAGAUCUGCACGUCGGAGGCAAGCAGCAGGUCACCAUGACCCCUGACAGGGUUAGGAAAGGAAUGUUCUUAAGGAAUUCAUUGCUGGUGUCUGAAGAAAGGAAGAAAAGUUGAUCUUUAUGGUUGAGUAGACAUUCCUGCCUUUGAGGAGGUCUGGUUAACGCAUACACUGCCCAUUAGGGAGGGCCCAACCUGGGCAGGGAGUAUGUUAGGCCUACAUUUUCUUGUCCUGCCUCAAAAACACAAAUUUUACUCCAUCACGGCUCUUGGUGGCGCUGCUGACCACAGGCCGGGUCAGAAACAAACCAGCCACCUGCCUGGCAGUUCUGUUCAGAGGCCUACACGGUCUCUCUGUGAGCUGUAGGAACACAUAAAUCACGUGUUCCUUAAGCAGCGGAGAGGCGUGGGAAGGAGCUGAUGGUCCCCUGCCCCACCCCAGUUCAGGCCAAGACAGCCUGUGGCCUGUGUGGGUCCUUGUGCACCAUUCUCCAGGCUCGGGCAAACACCCAUGAUACACAUGUUGUUACGUAUGUGGUUUCCAGAGUUAUCUCGGCAUUCAAGGCCCUCCAGAGCCUGCGCCCCCGGCUUCGUCAAUCUGACCUCCUGGGUCAGCGCCUUUGUCCGCACGCAGACACCCUGCUGGGGCCAUUCUGGUCAGCCCAGCCUGAGACACCCCACGUGUUCUCACUUAAGCAGAGCCCACCUGUCCUUUGAGACCAGCUCUGGUCCCAGCUGACAGUUUCCUCUCUGGGGCUCUUUAGUGCCAAUUCUCUGUCCUACUCACCUGACCCAUCUUGUGCCACCUGGGGCUGUCUGUCCUGCGCCUUUUCAUGAGGUCCAGCUGCCCUGCAUCUGGCCUCUCUUUCUCAAGACAGGACAUUGCCAGCCUCCUCGGGCUUAUGGGGAAGACAGGUUUGCAGUGAGAGCCUUUGCCCCUUUCCUCCCACCGACACGAGAGAGGGCGUGGUACCCCAGGUGAACGCCCAGAGUUGGGGGGGGGGGCGGCUGCUGGAAGCAGAAACCAACAUCUCGUCCCCAGCUGGGUGCUUGCUAAGCUGUAGACCCUGCCAGCUCAUCCUGGUGCCGCCACCAGGAUGUGGAGAGAGUCCUGGGAGAGGUUGACAGGUGUCCCCUGAAGGUGGGGUGUACUUGAGCACAGCCUGGUGCUGGCUCUCACCUGGGGAAUUCCAGGACCAGAGGGUUCUGCAGUCACCCUUCGAGGCCAAAAGGGACAGGGGUAUAGUGGCUUUGGGAUGAAGAGGACAGUUACUGUGGUCAACUGAAUAAUGGCCCCCAAAGAUGUCCACACCCCAACCCCCAGAACCUGUGAAUAUGUCACUUUACAAGGCAAAAGGGGCUUUGCAGAUGUGAUGAAGUUAAGAAAUCUGGGAUGGAGGCCAUCAUGGACUAGCCGCGUGGGCCCAGGGUCAUCACAAGCGUCCUUAUCAGAGGGUCAGAGACAGAGAGGAGAUGUGAUGCUGAAUUUGAAGGGGGUGGAAGGGGCCACAUGCCACGGAGUGUGGCAGCCUCUAGGAGCUGGAAAGGGCAAGGAAAUGGCUUCUCCCCUGGAGCCUCCAGAGGGAACAGUCCUGUGGGCACCUAGAUGUGUCACACUUAGCUCCAAGGGCAUUUGGAAAGCGCAGGCUUUUACCUGGCUGUUCAUGUUGGUGGAGUGGCAGCUGGGAGAGGUCUCUGCUCGGUGCCUUGCAGGGUAUUUGGAGAGCUUGCUGGGGCUUGGAAGGGCCAGGCAGCAGCUGGCACUCAGGAAAUGAUGUUUGCUGAAGCAGCAGACCUGCUUCUCUGUGUCACUCUUUUCAAAGUGUCCCCUCUGAAGGCCGAGCACAUCUAUACCUGUAACAGGAACCUUGCAGACUGGCAGUGCUUAACUGAAUGUCGGGACCCUCUGCUUUGAUUUAACAAACAACGUUAUCAUGCAGUGACAUGGCUUGCAGAAAUUAUGAUCCAGAGGAGGAAGGAAGCCUGGGAAUGCUUGACGCGCUGCCUGGUGGUUAGCUGGGUGAUUUCUGCUCAUCUUAACCAAAUCUCUUUACCCUCUUUCAGUCCAGUGGUUCAGAGAGGCCCAGGAGAACCUGGCAAAGCCCUGUCACCCCUCUGGUUGGCUCUGGCUUUCCUCACUCAGGAGUCAAGGGGCACGAGCAAGCCCAGGGUCCAGCAGACAAGGGCUUCCUUCCGUACCCACCAGGCAGGACACUUCCCCUUGGGGUCCAGGCAGUCCUGGAGUUUGAAUGCCACCGUGUCCUGGGAAAUGUGCACCUUUGUGCCUGACACUGCCAGCACACCCCCUUUUGGGGGAGGAGAGCGUCCUACCCUGGCUGUGAGAGCUGGACCUCAGCCCGCUGCUGCGUUCCCUCCCUCAUCCGCGACACGGCAGGGGAGCACUUCCAACGUGGCAGGUUUCCUGUGCACUGUCUCAUCUCCUCCCUGCGACAGUCAUACGAAGCAGGGACCAGUACUGUCAUCUCCAUUUUGCAGAUGAGAAACUGAGGCCUCGAGGUCAGGGAAACAGAGCUGGCAGGUGGCAGAGCCAGAACCUGACCCCUGAGUGGACGCUCUCUACUCUGCACACUCAAACCCUAAGCCCCGCUCCAGAGUAGUCCAAGCAGGGCUGCCGGAUUUAGCAAAUCAAAGAAGCUGGCCCAAGUUCAGUUUGAAUUUCAGGUAAACAAGGAAUUUUUUUUUGAGUUUAAGUAUGUCCUGAAUAGUGUAUGGGAUAUACUUAUACUUUUAAAAAAUUCUGUGUUGUUUAUCUGAAAUUCAGAUUUAAUCAGGUAUUCCCUAUUUUACCUGGCAACCCUAACUGCAAGGCAAAAGCCACCACGUAGCCCUGUGUGAGCCAGUGGCCAUGGGACAGGGAAGGUACCGCCAGCAUAACAUCGAUGUGCAGGGUGAGGGCCAGGAUGUCGAGUCUCUGGGCGUGGGAACCCAUUCUGGAGAACAGGUCUAUCAGUCCCCGGGGCCAGCCCCAAGCUCUCCCCAAGCAAAGGCAGAGCAGCGUGUGGCCUGCAGCGCCUGAAGAAUUGCUUGCACGUGCAGAGAGAAAGGUGGCCUUGGGGAUACUCAGCGGGGAGGCAGAGGAGACCAGGCGUGUUGGAUUAGAGUUUGCAGUGCCAGCUGGUCCACUGUGCAAGGUGGGCUUUGAAGAGCCGGCCUGGGGCCCUGCAGCUGUGGCAGCCGGCAGGACCCACCGAGGAGCCAGGGCCAGGACACGAGUCCCACUGUGGCCCUGAUAGCUCUUGGUGGUGUUGGGCCCAGGUUGCAGCUGUGUCUACAGCUGUGCAGGCAGACGGCACGGCCCUCAGGAGCACCUGUGUAGGAGCCUCCUGCAAGUGUGUGGGCCAAAGCCCCGUUAUCACCCUCACCCUGUGGUAAUGGAAGCUACCUUGUCUUAUGUGGUUACCACGGCUGGGAACUCUGACCACUUGACCUCAUCGAAUCCUCAUAGAACCCAGGAGUCUCCUGCCAUUAAUAGUUUUACAGAUGGAGACAUGCUCAGAGAGGUUAAGUAACUCUGCUGAGACCACAAAGCCAGUGAGUGGCAGAGCUGGGGCUUGAAGCCCCUAUCUCUAAGCCCUUGCUUUUAACCACUGAACAACAGAGCACGCUUCAUAAGGCUGGGGGCCCUGAGAGAAAAGGCUUUGAAGUGGUAGACAGAACAUUCAUCUGCACCGCAUAAAAUGUUCCUGCCUGGGUUUGAAUAAGGCUCCCCCAUCACGGACACACAUCUCAGGAUGUACUGAGGUGUGUAGCUGCUUAACCAGACUCAGCUUAUAUUUUAGAUCAACAAAUGAAAUUUAGGGACUUCCCUGGUGGUCCAGUGGUAAAAAAUCCACCUUCCAGUGCAGGGGACGCAGGUUCGAUCCCUAGUGGGGGAACUAAGAUCCCUCAUGCCGCGGGGCAACUAAGCCUGUGCGCCGCAACUACUGAGCCCGCGCGCUCUGGAGCCCGCGUGCCACAACUAGAGAGAGGCCCUCGCGACGCAGCGAUAGAUCCCGCGUGCCUCAACUAAGACCCCACGCAGCCAAAAAUUUUUUUCAAAAAAUAAAUAAAUAUUAAAAAAAGUUUAAAAACAAAUGACAUUUACCAAGAGGGCCCCGUCAGCCCACAAAACACUCUUCCUGGGAGCUCCUGACCUCCUCUCUGAGGGGAGAGGGUCUGUCUUCAGACCUGCAGGAGGGUUGGCAAAGCCAUGCCCAGGAGCACCUUCUGCCCCGGUGUUGGUGGCAACCUUGGAGGAGGUUGCCUCAGAGCCACUUGGGAGAGGCAGUGUGACACUGCAUGCAAGUGCACAUGUGCUGAACGGUUCACAUCCCAGGCCCAGCCCUUUCUAAUGAGAUUUAAGUGAGGAUUAACAAGUAAAGCAUGUUGAAGGCACUAGAAGUACCAGCUCUCCUAGGGAGGUUGACAGAGCGACUUGGUAAGUAGAGACACUUGCCCAGAAAUAUUUGAUUUUGUCUGGAACACAACUCAGAAGGAUAAUAAGCCUAGGGUUUUGAACCGAGAAGACAUCUCAUCAAGUACCAUAUUUCUGACAUGUGGUUAUUCAAAGAUCCUCUACAUCCACUGUUUCUCAGCUUCUUUGAUUCUCAGUGGAGCUUGAAAAGAAAAUCCACCCCAUCUCACCACGUUUUACAGCAUGUCAGUGUCACCAUAUUAUUCGCUAUGUUUCUUCUCCCAUCUUUCUUUCAAAACAGCAGUCACAGGACGAGUAGCCUGUACAUGUGUCAUAAAUUCUUUCUCCCUCCUGUCGAUUUCUUGGCAAGCGUCUGAUUCCAUUAUGACAUGGAGAAUCAACUUCGGGCCGCAGGAGGCUCACUGAGUUGCUGUAAUGCCGGGGCAUUUAUUCAUCAUCCUCUCCCAUGCUGCUUCCAGCCUUGUCACUCAGCGCAACAAAUACUUAAUGGAUCCCAACUCCUACGAGGCUUCGCAUUUCACAACCAGGAGACUCUGCAGUGGGUCUGCUCUUUCCUGCUUUCAUGAAAAAACUGGCAGAGGGAUAAUCGGAAAGUUUUAUUCACCCAUCUCCUUCUUCUCAUCUGGAAGGGCUUCCAGACACACAUGACUUAUUUAUAUUCUCACUCUGAGAGAAGCUUGCCCCACGAAUGCCUGCUGGGUAAUUGAAAUGACGGUCUUCAGAAUUUUUCCACUUCCUGUCAUUACGUGUUCUGUUGUCAACAGUGGCAUUCCUGAAGGAUAUACUGCUCUUGCGAGCACUUGCUGAGGUUUUCCAAGGGUCUGCAGGAGCCAUUUUGACUUUGUUUACCGUGGCUGUCUCUUCUGGUUACUCAACAUGGUGAUGUGCUAGAUGGUACCCAGCGGUGCUCAGGAAGAGCCCUUGUGGACAGAGAAUGAUGGAAACAUUGUGAUAGGGAAGAACCUUUGUAUUCUAUUACAAGCUCAUCACUAAAGGGAUGUUGCCUAUAAGCUUAAAUUAUACAUAAUGGCCCACCUCUGGGAACCCUGCCUCCCAGGUAAUGAGCAUUAAGCUAAAAUACCUCUGUUUAGCUCACAAGAAACAUGCUGACCAAGCCCACCUGUGAAUGACUGCAAGAAGGAAGAAAUGAACACAUGCCCUCCAGAGGCUGACCGGAACCAGGAAAUGUUUGACUUUCCUCCCUCCUCUUUUAGUAUAAAAGAAGCCUGAAUUCUAACUCAGGCAAGAUGGUUCUUUGGGACACGAGUCCACGGUCUGCUGGCUUUCUGGAUAAAGUUGCUACUCCUUUGCCCCAGCAAUUUGUCUCUCAAGUUAUUGGCCGGUGUGUGGUGAGCAGCUCGUUUGGACUCGGUAACAACAGCUUUCUGCACACUUUUCUCCAUGGUUUUUCUAUUCUUUUUUUCUUUAUUGCAGCUAUGAUAGUUUGCCAGAGACAGAGGUCAGUGUAGCAGAGGGAUGAGCACACAGGCUCUUGAGUCAGACAGCCCUGAGUUCAAAUCCUGGAUCCCCAACUGUAGUCGAGAAGAUCUUUGCUUCUAAUUCUUUACUCACUCCCAGUAUCAGAAUUAGAAAUUGUCGCCCUUUUGGCAUGUGACUUUGCAGCCCCUCCCGCUAGAGUGGGCAGAGUACGUGGGAUGUGGAAGCCUGGUCCAGCCGAGGGCUUCAGAGGUGCCGUCUGUCCUGCCUACGUGUCCUCCAUCUACCCUGAGAAGAAUAUGCCCUGGGAGACUGUCGCAUCCCAGAACGAUGCAGAUGGACCCCACCUGAACCCAUCCUGCAGCCUGGAGAUAAUCCCAGCCAACCCAGAGAACUAGGGAAGCAGUGGCUGAGGACCCAGCUACACACAUUUCUUCAGCUUCCAGAUGGCCUGUGACUGGAGGGAACAACGAUGGGGGGCCCCACAUGGACCCAUCUCUCAACUGUAAAAUAGAAACACACCAGCGAAGCCGACUUGAAAAGGUUUAUGAAGGAACCAGGCUUACUGGAGCAUCUCCUCAGCUCUCAAGUGGUACCCAGCUGUAAGGUGUGGAUCUGAGUCCCCACCACCAGCAGGUCAGUUUCCCACAGGUGUCCAAGUGGCAGGUCUUGAAAUCAUCUUGUAGCUGCGAGAACCCGAGUCACCUCUUCUUCCAUGUCGUUUUGUGAUUACUGCUUGAGAGAGGCAAAAGAGAGAGACUGACAGAUGGGAGUGUGGGGACGAGAGAGACAGAGAAAGAGAGAGAGAGAAUGCACUAAGGAAGCACUCUCAAGAUAAUAAAAGAAUUCCAAGUCCAAUUUUUGUCUCUAGAGGUUCUCAUUUUGCAAGCUGCCACAAGGAUGUGGGUGUUCACGUGCAAACACAAUUCUCCAUAAUCCUGCAGCACCUGGGCCCAGUGACAGACUGAGUCUGGGGGACAUGUCACCCAUUUGUUCUUCUGACCAGGCUUCUGCCACGCACCAUCCAUCAGUCAUGGAUGGAGGGAGCAGAACGUUUCCAUGCUCCCCAGAUGCACCGUCUCUCUCCACCUGCUGGAGAUGCCUUUGUAGACAGGAUGCAGUGGGACUGGCCCCAGGUGGGCCCCUUUGCCUCCUCUGAUCCUUUUUUUUUUGCUUUCUGGUCACGCCGCGCGGCAUGUGGGAUCUUAGUUCCCCGACCAGGGAUCGAACCCGUGCCCCCCUGCAGUGGAAGCACAGAGUCUUAUCCACUGGACCGCCAGGGAAGUCCCAGCCUCCUCUGUCCCUUUGCCUUGGGUGGUCUCCGAGGUCCCCGGAGCUCAGGCCAUCCUGAGGCUGAUUGCCUUAGAAUGAUCUCCCAGUGACACCCAUCAAGUUGUUCUGGAAAUCUCCUUUACUCCGGUUUGGGGGGCAGAGAUGGAAAAAAAGGACGGGAACUUGAGCUUCCGGGCCCUCCAGUUCUGUGAUUCAAGGGCUCAAAGGAAAAGGAGCUUCCUAAGCGGAGUGGUCAGGCUGCCUUUGCAGUUACGUGGGUGAUGGGGCGAUGAAAACACAGGUGCAGCCCUGGCACUGAAGAGGCAGCGGUGCCUGAGGAGGGAGUUGGCCGCGCGGGGGCGCUUGUGGGCCAAGUACACUUAGGACCCUCAGCUCCCCCCGCCCCUUCCCUCUUGGCACCUCGCCUCUGUGCCUCCCGCCUGCUUCCUGCCAAACCUUGUUGGUCCCCCCACCAGCUCCCCACAAUGGCCGUGACAGCUUGUGCUGGGGCCACGUGGUGGGAUGGAAGGGGGUUUAUCUGUCCUAAACACUCGUGCCGCUGGCAUGUUUUAUGGGAUUCCAAAAGCGUGGCGAGUGGAGGGAAAUUCUUCCCUCCGGAGAGAGAGAAAAAGAAAAUGAGGAAUGAGAGAGAUGAAAAGGCUUUUUUUCUUCCCCAAAUUGGAGCUACACUUCAGAUGAAAAUAAUGCAUCUUGUGCCCCUGCCUGUGGGGCGCGGUGUUUUCUGCAGACUGAAAAAAAACGCAGAAUGUGGAACAAAAGCUGGUCUCGGAGACCAUUAGCCCCUUGUUUAAAGUGUUUAAUUUCAAGCCUUCGACACUUUUUUUUUUCUUUUUAACGAAUCCAUGAGGCAACUGUGGGGAGGAAACAAGAAGCUGCCAGGUAGUGCUGUGUCUUGCUUGCUCGUCCAACUGUUCCAUCUUUUGUUAAAGCCAUAAAUGCAUUUUUCAAGCCACUUGGCUUCUCGGAUGCUGUAUAUUUAAUUUGCCUGGAACAUUCCACAGACUGCGCGCUUUUCAACAGCAUCUCAUUAGAGCCUUGUGUGACUGCCCAUCUCUUCACGGGCAGUGCAGUGCUCAGCUUAACGGGCAGCCUUCCUGGCUGACUUUCGUCAGAGAAAAUGCGUGACUUGGGCUCAUCGGUUGACUUGUGUCCCCUCCAAAUUCAUAUGUUGAAGUCCUAACCCCUAGGACCUCAGCAUGUGACCUUAUUUGGAAGUAAGGUUGUUGCAGAUGUAAUUAGUUGAGGUCAUUAGGGUGGGCCCUAAUCCAAUAUGACCAGUGUCCUUAUAAAAAGGGGAGAUUUGGUCACAGAGAUGUGCACAGAGGAAAGACAGCCAUCCAAAAGCCAAGGGGAGGCACCUGGAACAGAUCCUCCCACCAGCCUCAGAAGGAGGCUGCCGACACCUUGAUUGCAGACCUCUGGGCUCCAGAACAGGGAGAGAAUAAAUUUCCAUUGUUCAAGCCGCCGGUCUGCGGUGUUUUGUUACAACAGACACAGGAACUCCUCAGACAUCAUAGCAAAAGCCCCUGCGUGGUCUAGAGGGUGAAGGAGGCGGCCUCACUUUCGCCAUGUUGCUGAGCAAGGACCUGGUUUAGGGGACGGCGUCGCCUUUAUUCAGCCCUGUUUCUCAGGCCUCUCUUCGCUCGCCAUCACCCACCUGACUCCCACCUGGGACCACCAUUCCAGGAGGCCAGGUAGAGGUGAGAGUGGCCUGCCGUCUGGUACUGCUCCUUCAGCACCAGUUCCCAUGGACCACUGGGUCCCGCUCUGGCACCUAGAGGUGCUGGGUAUCUCAAACACUUGCUCUGGCCGGCACACCCCUGACCUCCAGGCCAUCAUCCUCUCCAAGGCUCUCGGGCCCACGUGGGUGAAACAUUUCCUUAACAUACUCAAAGGCUAACCAUUGGACCCAGGAAGCCUGGCUUUCUAGGACAUGUUUUUACACAGAACAAUUGUCUGGACACUUGUCCUUCAGAGGCCUGCCUGGACCAAUCGGGCAGUGAGAACAUCUUCUGAGCCCCUUCUGAACAUGAGAAGCGGGCUGAGGGGCUGAAUCCUAGAACAUGCCCUACACGGCUGCCUGUGUCAUUGCAGCUGGUGCCUGACUGCCUGCACGUGCCAGUGGGGGAAGGGGUGCUGGUGGGAGAGGGUGGAGCCUGGCAACUGAUCUGGGACACUUCACGGGGUAGGGACAACUCUGUAGCCUUUUAAAGAUGGGAAAUGAUAGAGCUGAUCGCGGGAAGUGAUUUCCACUGUGAACAAGGCCAGACAUGACCAACGUUUUGAGGUGGGAGCCGGCAAACCCAGUGUGGAGGACCCGAAGUGAAACCGACCCCCUAAAACCAGGUUCCUCUGCUGAGUUGAUGAUUCCAACACCUGUUCCCCUCAAGAUUGGGGAGUGUCAAAGAAUAAGGGGGAUCGAAACCGAACAGGGCCCUCCCAAGUACAAAAGCCUUUCUGUGUCCCCUGUUGCUUGUUUGUAGGAAAAAAGCUUCAGUCUCCUUGACCUUCCCUGCGUUCCAAAGGUCAGAUUCAAACAAUUACUAAUCAGGGAAGGGAGGGAAUGCAGAAAGGGGGGAGGAGCCGCCAAGAAGCAGUAAUGCAGCCAUAAAGCAGGGUCCUUAGCGACAUACUCCGAGCUCUUCUACAGGAACUAAAGCCCCCACCCCAGUGGAGGAUGGUAACUUCAGGCUGAGCACAAGCAGGGGACCCCAGACUGGUUGGAACCGGAAGGCUGAUGAUGAGAUUCCUGGAGCACCGCCCUGUUACCUCCCAGCAACCAGUCAGAGGAAGGUCACACACCUGCAGCCUGUCUCCCAAAUUUUGCCCAUAAACGCUCUUCCCUGAAGACCAGCAUAGAGUUCAGGCUUUCUGAGUGCGAGCCGACCGUUCCCCUUGCUCAGCCCCUUUCUGCUCUCCAAACGCGGACGUGCUGGUUGGUCUGGCCUCACGGCGUCAGGCACGUGAACUGGACAGCGCAGGGCUUAGGUGAGGGCUGGGGCAGAGGACACGAGUGGACCUAUUCUCGACUCCAAGGUAAGAAGGGAACCCAGAUAACGAGUGCUCUACCGCAGGGCUGCUGUGGGCGUCAUCCUGUCCCCCCAUUCAAGUCCUAACCCCUGGCACCUGUGAAUGUGACCUUAUUUGGAAAUUGAGUCAUUGCAGAUAUAAUCAAGUUAAGAUGAAGACAUACUUUGUUUGUUUGUUUGUUUGGCCAUGCCACGCCGAGUGGCUUGCAGGAUCUCAGUUCCCCGACCAGGGAUUGAACCCAGGCCCCAGCAGUGAAAGCACCAAGUCCUAACCACUGGACCGCCAGGGAACUCCCGAGAUGAAGAUAUACUUGAUUAAGGUGGAUAAGGGCCCUAAACCAAUAGGACUUGGGUCCUUAUAAGAAGAGAAGACACACAGACACAUACAGACAACACCCUGUGGAGACAGAGACUGUCUCGGGACAGACUCUCCCUCAGAGCCUCCGGAAGGAACCAACCCUUCUGGCGCCUUGAUUUUGGACUUUUGCCCUCCAGACCUGGGAGAGAAUAAUUUCUGUUGUUUUGAGCCACCCUGUGCGGUCAUUUGUUACUGCAGCCCCAGGACACGAAUACAAGGGCCUACAGUGUGCAGGGCUUCACAUAUGUCUCCAUCGGAUGGGAACAGCCGGGACGUGGGAGGCGGCUGCAUUUUCCGGAAACAUGGUCCCAGUGAGCCGCAGGGGGAGCACCUGAACCCUGGCCACCCGAACGCUCAGAGGGCCCGCCGGGCGGGGGAGGAGACGACCCCUCUCCCUCCAGGAUGUUUAACCCACUCGACUGUCUCCUGCUCCGGAAAAUCUUCCUCCCCUGCUUCCUGGCCCAGGCAGGGCCAGCCCUGUGCCUUCCACACACUGCCCGUCGCACCCUCCAGCCUCUGGCGGGCAGAGGGGUGGAGCUGGAUGCCAGAGGGAAGGCUGUACCCACCAUCUGAGGUUGGAAAACCUUCUUCCACAGGCAGGACAGCAGGAUGUCUGGCCGCAGACACUUGCUCCCCCAUACGGGUCACCCCAGGGCUACGCCAAGCCUAUGGCUUUUCAGAGGGCAGAGCCCUGGGUUUGCCCAGCAGAGGUCUGAGCCAGACCAAGCUACAGCAUCAUUUUAAAGGCACAGAGGAUUCUGGUUGUCACAAGAACUUGAAACCCUGUCCACGGUUCUGGAACACUCCUGGCUACCGGGUCUGGGAAGCCACUAGAUGGCAGUAGAGACCGGGCCUGGCCCCAGUGUAGCCGAGUGGGGCUGGAGGGGAGGAGGGAACCCAGAGGAACCCGGGAAGGGGGGCAUUUGAGUCACGUGUGUCAGUGAGGGACCCAGGAGGGGAGACCAAAUUGUCAACAUGUGUGGGGUAUGGGCUGGGAGCCCCAUGGUUAGGCCCACAGGAGCCUCCUGCUUGGAAGGACGUCCCUUGGGGAGUCCACCUGGGCCCUCCAUUUUUUAAUUAAAAAAAAUUUUUUUGGGCCACACCACGUGGCAUGCAGGAUCUUAGUUCCCCAGCCAGGGAUCGAACCCCUGCUCCCUGCAUUGGAAGCGUGGAGUCUUAACCACUGGACUGCCAAGGAAGUCCCUGCGCCCUGCAUUUUGAAGCAGGCUGCUUUCCAGAGCCCCAGGACUUCCUCACGGGGCUUCCAGGGCCAGAGACUGAUGGCCAGACGGUGUCCACCUGUUUGUCAGGCCAGGGAGAUCCAGGGAGAUGGGGGGGGCACAGCAGAGGCCGCCGGGAGAACACGGGCCUGGGGGAGAAGCCGGGUGCCAGUACCUGCCCGCUGGUGACCCCAGCCGGGUUACUUAACCUCUCCUCACCUGUGAAUUGAGGGUAUGGACAGUAUCUACCUGGUAGGGUUACAUGAGACGGUGCCUGCCACCCAAUCCAGCCCAGAGCACACGCCAUCACCAGCAUCACCAGCUCUGUCAUCCUCGUUGUUCUUAAUGGUAUGUGGUGACCUUGGAAAGGUGGGGCAAGUGUAAAACAGACAAAACAAACCAAACGUGGCUCUUUCGCAUGCGUGGACAGUCUGGACACGAGAAGCCCAGCUUCGAAUGGCAUCGUGGUCCACCCAGGCUCCUCUUAGACAUCUUCCCAGGGUGACCCAUUCCCAUGGGUCACUUGGGGCGUCUGCAGGUGUAUCCAGGCUCCCCGCUGACCGUCAAGGGGCGCCCUAUUUGACAUGUUCCUAUUGGGCGGGGCCUCUAUCUGCCAUUACCUGUGAUGGUCAAAGGCGGUAAAGGAGUUGUGUUCUGAAGGGGCCCCCAGGUCAAAGCCAAGGGAGCAAGCCCCAAACUGGACGUCAGUCUCAGGGCCAGGCUGAGAGUCGGAGCCACUGUGUGGAGUCUGAUGAGAGAGGAUUGAGGUGGGGCGGAAGGCCUGAGAGGCCACAUGCGUGGAGGCUGGCAGGGGAGAAACUCCAGAGAGAAAGCAGGGGCGUGGCAGCCUUUCAGGUCCUUCUGCGGCACGUUUGGUUAAUGAUGCUGAGCAGUGCCGAGUGGGCAGCGUGCAGACUGCAUCGCCCUUGCAGGCUCAUGGGGGUAUUUGUUUGGUUCUCUGGAGGGAUGUGGGGGACGCUUAUGGGUUAGAACAGGAGCCUGUGUGUCCCCGCCAUGAGCCCCUCUAUGCAGAGUGUUCACUCUCAGUAAACACUGAAAGAAAGUGUCAGUAAGUGAACUUCUCCUGGUCACUCUGAGCAUCAUUUCCUUUAUUCACUUCAUGUACAUCAGACAGGAUCCUUCUGGAUCAGUGAGUUCAUCCAGAUCUUUGGGAACCGCUGGAGAAGCAUCAAUUACCGUUGGCCAGCAAGCCUGGCCACGUUCCGUGUCCCUGAGCCAAAAUCACAACCAUCCUGUAAGAUGCUUCACAGGCUCUUUGGACCUGGCGUUGACAGUGAUGAAAGGCACCAGGGAAGCUUAAUGAAGACGUUCUUAGUUCUUAAAAAAAUAAAAACGACAGUAAUAGCUAACAUCUGUGGAGUGCGUACGAUGAACCAAGUAUUUUACAUGCAUUACCUAAUUUAAUGUGAAAUGACUCUCUGAGAUAGGAAAUAAAAUAAUUCCUGUCUUACAGAUGAGGAGACCGAGGCUCAGAGACCUACGCGUUGUCACCAGUCCAGAAAGUCUUGAAGCCAGGGUUCAAGGCAGGCCCUGGCUCUGGUGAGCCCACUCUGCAAGAGAGAUGCUCAGCAUGUGUGCAGAACUCAACGUCGGGACGAGAGGGGACACUGGUUCGAGCCCUGGUCCAGGAAGAUCCCACAUGCCGCGGAGCAGCUAAGCCCGUGCACCACAACUACAGAGCCUGCGCUCUAGAGCCCGUGAGCCACAACUACUGAGCCCACGUGCUGGAACUACUGAAGCCCACGUGCCUCGAGCCCGUGCUCCACAACAAGAGAAGCCACCGCAAUGAGAUGCCCGCGCACCGCAACGAAGAGCAGCCCCCUGCUCCGCUCACUGCAACUAGAGAAAGGCUAUGCAGCAACAGAGACCCAACGCAGCCAGAAAUAAAUAAAUAAAUUUAUUUUUUAAAAAAUCCUCCAA